CAUGGUUUGUACUCUUCCUACAUUUGAGAUGCAUUGCUGUUUUUCUCGUGUCCUGUAUGUGGUCAGUCUUGUAACUAGCACGGGUCCCAGGAAAGAGGGCGCACGCUCAGUCUGAUGACUGUGUAGCAGGUCGGCUCACUCGAUCGUAUUCCGCAGGGACGAAUCCCUAAUUCCGGUCGUCUGUGUUCGGGGGAGCUGGCCGCCGUGCAUGGAAGCUGCGACCUGCAGUCAUGAGUACCAGGGCUGAGGAAGCCAGUAUUUGCAGUGUUUCCGUGCGGUCUAGUCCGCUGGGCUAAACUAGCAGCAGCGAACAUGAAGGGCCUCUGAGUGGCCAGAAGGGCCGCCGGUGGCCGGUGCUGUACCUCCCAUCCCCAUCCCAACACCGGCGUGUGCGUGAGCACCGCCCUGCACCUUCUCGUGCACUUGGGUAUUGGGCUUCCUGGCCCAUCGAGAAUUGAGAGGGGAAAGGUUCACGGGUGAGUGAGCUAAGUAUAGGGUUGACAGCGAGUGACCAGAAGCAGAGCACAGAGGACCACAGCCCAGCCACCUGUGUAGGAGUCUGAGCCGGCCAUGUCCCGGACCCUCUCUGCCAGCUCCAUGCCCUGGGGUGGGGGCUAGGGGCAGACGUCACUGUCCCUGCUCCCAGCUCCAUCAAGGGCUUCUGCCUGCGUUUGGCCCUAGAGACACCUUUCCCUGGAGGGAGAGCGAGUGAGGGGGCUGUUGCCUCUCCCCUGCCCGGCUGGGUCUCUAGGUCCCAGGGGCCGGACGCCCUCCCUUGUGCCUCAGGACUGCUGACUUCCGUACUCCCAGCCCAGGCACUUGGAAAUCGUCCCUUUAUGAUACGUCUCUCUCAAAGGAUCCAAUUUGAAUGUUCUCUCUGCUUCCUGGGCCCUAACAGAUGCAGAGCGGGUCGGAAACGGGAAGAAGUCAGUCCAACCUCCUCAUCUUGCCGUCGGGAAGUGCCACGCUCAGAGUCACCCAGGAGGGUCAUGGCCAGCCAGAGGCAGAAUUCAGGAGAAGGCAGACCUUCGGCUGUUACCAGAGCCCCCCCCCCACCCCCCGCCCGUGGCACGGUUACA
rnacentral:lncRNA from 1 species